GACGAACGCUGGCGGCGUGCCUAAUACAUGCAAGUCGAGCGCAGGAAACUGACGGAACUCUUCGGAGGGAAGGCAGUGGAAUGAGCGGCGGACGGGUGAGUAACACGUAAGGAACCUGCCUCAAGGAUUGGGAUAACUCCGAGAAAUCGGAGCUAAUACCGGAUAGUUCAUCGGACCGCAUGGUCCGUUGAUGAAAGGCGCUCCGGCGUCACCUUGAGAUGGCCUUGCGGUGCAUUAGCUAGUUGGUGGGGUAACGGCUCACCAAGGCGACGAUGCAUAGGCGACCUGAGAGGGUGAUCGGCCACACUGGGACUGAGACACGGCCCAGACUCCUACGGGAGGCAGCAGUAGGGAAUCUUCCACAAUGGACGAAAGUCUGAUGGAGCAACGCCGCGUGAGUGAUGAAGGUUUUCGGAUCGUAAAACUCUGUUGUAAGGGAAGAACACGUACGAGAGGGAAUGCUCGUACCUUGACGGUACCUUACGAGAAAGCCACGGCUAACUACGUGCCAGCCGCCGCCGUAACAC
rnacentral:rRNA from 1 species